rnacentral:lncRNA from 1 species
AUGAUCAAGCUUUUGGGCUUGUCCCACUUGAAAUCCAUUGAACCCAUUUUAUUGUCCAUCCCUGCAGGACACAGCUCUUCAAAUCACCUAAUGCUUCCCAUCCAGGUCGGGACUGUAUGAGUAUGAUAUAUUCAGCACAUUUUUUUAUGGAAAUGAGGACGAGGUUCCAGGGCAGUUCAGUAAUAGAUUUGUGGGAUCAUCCUCAAAAUCUUUUAUAGUGCCUAAUCUCAGGAUCCGAGGCUUGAACAUCUUCUCUGUCUAUAAAAGUUCACAUAACUAUUCACCUCAGGAUGUAUUAAUUACCGAAAUCAACAAUAAGAGCAAGCGUCUGAAGUGGAUCUAUGGGCCUUCAUGCUAUGGCAUUCCAACUGAAGAAAAUAAUGUGAUAUGGUUAAGCC